GUUGUCAGGGAGAUGGCCAGGCCGGCUUUGCUAUCCUUAUAUAGUUAUGACAUUGGCUAAUUACCUAGUCAGCCUGAAACCGGUUUUCUUAUUUGUCAAUAUAGACCAAGCUUCUUCCGAUUGCAAGAUUAGAGCCUCAAAAAGAGGUCACGAGACCUUGGAAGUGAAGAUGGCGAGGGAGGGCCUCCUUGAACAUCGGAUGGCUUUGCUCCACGUCAAAUGGAGCAGGAGUUUGGCCAGUAUCCUCAGGAAGUGUCUCCUCAGUGCCAUGUGUCCCACUGAGUCUCUGAUGUCUGUCUGUCUGUCUGUCUGACUCUCUCUCUUUCUAUGUGUGUGUGAGAGAGGGGAGGAAGGGGAGAGUUAGGGAAGGAUGGAGAGAGGGAGGGAGGGAGAGAGGGAGGGGGGUGGGUAGAGAGAGCGUCUUUCUGUAACUGCCAUAGCUCCAGUUUGCAGUCUGGAGAAACCCAUUCUGACUGGAUAUAAGAAUCCCCGCCACCGCUACCCCCUUGUCAGCUCUGGUGUGCCCCACCUGUAGUUGGUCUGACCUUGAGCCAUGUGUCUUGUCCUGCUCCGGUCAGGUAGUAGGAGUCAGGACCAUAUACAAGGUAGAGUGCCGCACAGGCUAAGGAGUUUUGUGCAGAGAAGUAGGUCUGUGGGCGGGGCUUCCCGAAGAUCCCCGGCCUGGAGAAUUACUGGGCCUGUGGGACACAAAUACCAAGCCUGCCCUGGGGGCUCCUGUUAGGCUUGCUGCUGCCAGAAAAGCCUGAGUGUGUAUCAGUUACCGUUAGGAGAGUUUGAUGAUCCCACAUGGGUUGACUUUCAGAGAGGUGUGGUGGGUGUGGUUUCCUGGCACCCUGGUUCAGAAGGUCUCCAGGCUUGGGGUGUCAGGCUCUGGGGUUGCUUAACCUUUUUGUUUGUUUGUUUGUUUGUUUUGUUCUGUUAGAAUGUGUUUUGUGCACACAGUCUGGAGAGAGAGACAAUGGGCCUGGGUCUUCUGCUCACUGUGGUCCUGGCGUUUCCCUGCCCAGCUGGGAUGGAUCCUUGACCCUUCACCUAUUGCCCAGACCACUCCCUCCCACCCUCAGAUCAUGUGUCCCUCUGCUUGGACAAGUAUGACUUGUUUUAGUGUGUGUGUGUGUGUGUGUGUGUGUGUGUGUGUGUGUGUGUGUGUGUGGUGGGGUGGUCUUUGUCUACAAUCAUCUUCCACUCCUAGAGGGGGCCUGGGCAGGCACAUAGGUGAGGGGUUAUGUCAUCUCCAUUCUGAAUGGAGGGCCGUAUUGCAGAGGAAGGGCAAGGCCCCCUGACCGAGUCUUCAGAGCACCCAGCACUGAGGCUGUCCUAUAGUACGGCCCCUGUCCCCCUAAGGACUUAGACAGCAGGGUGAUCCUGCUGACUCCAUGUGUUUCUGUCAGGUGACGGAUGGACAGGAGAGUCAGUGACUGGUGUCCAUCAAAAAAAGCACAGUGAUUUCAUAAUAGACAUGAGCAGCUCCCUCAAGGACCCCUGGGCUCAAGAGACAGUGACAUUCAACAAGAAGCAAGAAGUACCAUGGCAGGCAGAUAAUCGGCCGGGUGAAAAUGAAACGGGACUCAAAGCACUCUGGGAAGCCGCCCAGUGCCGGACGCUGUGGGAAAGAGCUGGGACAGGGGGUGGUUUUGUGCAGGAGGAAGUCAGCAGAAAUUGACACAAGACAGAGGAAUGUGCACCAAGACCAGAAUAACUCACCGGGUGCCUGUGCUGGAGUCAAAGCCAGGGUGAUGUUUCAGGAAACCACCGUCCAGUUGCUGUGUUUACUCAUCUACUGGGCCUCUCUGAGCAGAACCGUCAUUUUCAAAGGUACACAUUUCUCAGGCGUGCACUGAAAUAUGCACAAAACUGGUGACAGCUAAGCUUUUCUGUCAACAUGACUACAUUUGGAUUACCUAAGGAGACACACAUGCCUGUGAAGAAGUUUCCAGAAAGGUUUAACCAAGGAGGGAAGACUCCCCGGAAUGGAGGUGGUAUCAUCAGUGGGUGGGGGCCUUGUCCUGAGGAAGAAGGGGAUGCCAUCUGGGCAGCAUGCGUUCACUGCCCUCUGCUUCCUGCCUGUGGACACAGUGUGACCAGGACACAGUGUGACCAGGACACAGUGUGACCAGCUGCCUCACGCUCCCACUGCCCUGCCCGCCCCAUCGUGAUGGGAUGUACAUGCGAACUUUGACCCUUUUCCCCUCCAGUGACCUCUGUCAGACAUUCUGUCACAGCGAUAAGAAAAUAACCCCUAUCAUUGGUGUAUCCAACCCAUAUCCUUUACCACACCACCACGAAGAGACCGAAGGAAAAAGAAAGGAAGUAAACAAAUUCAUUCACAAAGUCUAUUUAUAGGAAGAAAAACAAAACCCUAGAUCACGGGUCAGCAAACCAUGCUUAGGCUCUGGUUUCUUUUGUACUGAUCAUAAACUAAGAUUUUUAAAAAUUGUUUUUAAAGGAAUAUUUAAAAGAAAUGGGAAACAGAUGGUGAAUAGAUGAUAGAGGCCACCUGUGGCACUUGGAACCUAAAUCCAACCUUUGGACCUCUCUGGGCCAUACUGGAAGAAUUGUCUCAAGGCAUAAAAUAAGCCUGAGGUAUCCAACCCAGGCCCUUGGGCUACAAGAACAUACAUACUUCUGUUUUGCAGGACUCUUUGAAAUAAAGAGCUAUCCUGGGUUAUAUGUGUCACAGGUUGGACAUCCCUGCUGGGCAGCCCUUUACAAAGCUUACUGAUUAGAGGGGCUUGGGACCCUUUGGCAGCCAAAGGUCACCCAUCAAAUGCUUCCUCAGACCCAAGGGAAGGACCAGUGGUUUCAGUCAGAGGCACCUGUACUUCCUGAAAAACAAUGCCGGAAACCAUGAACAUGGAACCCCCACACGUGGGGUGUUCGUGGCAAAUGGCAG